rnacentral:rRNA from 1 species
AUUGAACGCUGGCGGCAUGCUUUACACAUGCAAGUCGAACGGCAGCGCGGGCUUCGGCCUGGCGGCGAGUGGCGAACGGGUGAGUAAUGCAUCGGAACGUGCCCAGUAGUGGGGGAUAGCCCGGCGAAAGCCGGAUUAAUACCGCAUACGACCUGAGGGUGAAAGCGGGGGACCGAAAGGCCUCGCGCUAUUGGAGCGGCCGAUGUCGGAUUAGCUAGUUGGUGGGGUAAAGGCUUACCAAGGCGACGAUCCGUAGCUGGUCUGAGAGGACGACCAGCCACACUGGGACUGAGACACGGCCCAGACUCCUACGGGAGGCAGCAGUGGGGAAUUUUGGACGAUGGGGGCAACCCUGAUCCAGCCAUGCCGCGUGCGGGAAGAAGGCCUUCGGGUUGUAAACCGCUUUUGUUCGGGAAGAAAUCCUCUGGGCUAAUACCCCGGGGGGAUGACGGCACCGGAAGAAUAAGCACCGGCUAACUACGUG